UACAGAGGGUGCGAGCGUUGUUCGGAAUUACUGGGCGUAAAGCGCACGUAGGCGGCUUUCUAAGUCAGGGGUGAAAUCCUGGAGCUCAACUCCAGAACUGCCUUUGAUACUGGGGAGCUCGAGUCCGGAAGAGGUGAGUGGAACUCCGAGUGUAGAGGUGAAAUUCGUAGAUAUUCGGAAGAACACCAGUGGCGAAGGCGGCUCACUGGUCCGGUACUGACGCUGAGGUGCGAAAGCGUGGGGAGCAAACAGG
rnacentral:rRNA from 1 species